ACGAACGCUGGCGGCGUGCUUAACACAUGCAAGUCGAACGGAAAGGCCCUGCUUUUGUGGGGUGCUCGAGUGGCGAACGGGUGAGUAACACGUGAGUAACCUGCCCUUGACUUUGGGAUAACUUCAGGAAACUGGGGCUAAUACCGGAUAGGAGCUCCUGCUGCAUGGUGGGGGUUGGAAAGUUUCGGCGGUUGGGGAUGGACUCGCGGCUUAUCAGCUUGUUGGUGGGGUAGUGGCUUACCAAGGCUUUGACGGGUAGCCGGCCUGAGAGGGUGACCGGCCACAUUGGGACUGAGAUACGGCCCAGACUCCUACGGGAGGCAGCAGUGGGGAAUAUUGCACAAUGGGCGGAAGCCUGAUGCAGCAACCCCGCGUGCGGGAUGACGGCCUUCGGGUUGUAAACCGCUUUCGCCUGUGACGAAGCGUGAGUGACGGUAAUGGGUAAAGAAGCACCGGCUAACUACGUG
rnacentral:rRNA from 1 species